AUCCAACACAAGAAGAAGUGGCCCUAUAAAGCAUCAACAAUACAAUGGUGUCUCCUUAACACUGGUGUUUUCUGCUGUUAUGACGCGUUAUCCAGGUUGCUGCAGCAUGGUUUUGGUCAUUAGUGUUACCUUCUUUAGAGGCUCUAUGGUGUCACCCCCUAAAUGGUGUCACCCCCUAAAUGGUGUCACCCCCUAAAUGGUGUCACCCCCUAAAUGGUGUCACCCAGGGCGCCCCCCCGCAUCCCUUACGAUGCCUCUGCUCCUUCUCCUCCUCGGCUUCAUAUCUCUGACAAAUGAAGAAUGAUCCCCAGCUUGCAGUCUGUAGCUGUCAAACAUGGCAGUUCCCGGCAUCAACACAGAAGAGCCUCAAGUGGCACUCAGUCAGGAUUUAAGGAGCCAGACUGUGCUACCCAUCCACAUGGCUCAGGAAUGUACCGAGGCUCCAAGAUGGCCUUGUGACUCCGUCUAUGUGGCAAAUUAUUUUGAGGAACCUACCUCGAGGCAUGUCGGCGAACAGCCGGGCCUACCGACAGGCCCGAGUAGCAAACUAGCGAGAGUUCACCUGUGUAAAUCUCCCACUUCUAACCAUGAGUGUAAUAAAUACAGUGGACCCCCGCUUAACGAUCACCUCCCAAUGCGACCAAUUAUGUAAGUGUAUUUAUGUAAGUGCAUUUGUACGUGUAUGUUUGGGAGUCUGAAAUGGAUUAAUCUACUUCACAGUAUUCCUUAUGGGAACAAAUUCGGUCAGUACUGGCACCUGAACAUACUUCUGGAAUGAAAAAAUAUCGUUAACUGGGGGUCCACUGUAUUUUGUAAUAUGCCUGGGGAUGGGAAGAACAGCUCUAGGAGCACCAAAGUAACAAGUCUGCUACCAUCACAUACAUUAGCAAUGUCUGCCUCUUUUAACAAGUCAUAUUUCAGCUCUGGUCCUGAAAAACAAUCAAAAAGUGCUGGUUUGACUCCAGAGAGUGAAACAUCCGUCAAAACAAAAAUGUUGGGUUUAUGGAAUAACAUCAGAUAGGGUGAGUGGUAAUGGUGAGUUAUAAUGGUGAAGCAUAAUGGUGAAUGGUAAUGAUGAGUACAUGUAUAUGGAUCAUAAUGUUUGAGUCAUUGUAUUUGGCAUAGUGACAUAAAUGAUAAUAUACUAUAUAGAAAGUCCAUGUUUAUACAGAGCAUUUCCUAGAAACUCGGUUAAGUUUGUCCCUUGGAAGCAACUUGCACCAGUCCACUAACACCCAAGUACCUAAUUACUGCUAUGUAAACAGGGACAGCAGGUGUCUUAAGGAAACAUGUCCUGAUGUUUCCAGCUGUACCGGAGGCUGAACCCCGCACCUGUGUGUGUGAGCUGAGUGCGCUACCAAUCCAGCUACAAGGCACCUUAAUAGUUGGGCGGUUAAUCUCAAAAGAAAUUUUUCCUGAGAUUCCCCCAUGUACCUGCUGGGAUGUGUCUAUCAUAAAUGUUUAGGUGAAGACGAAGAUAAUUGAGAGGAAGAGGUUGAGAGGCAUGGUAUGGAGGCCUUGAAGGAGCACUUCCACAGUCUAGUGUGGUGCACAUACCGGCGACAGUUUGCAACAUUGCAAGACUCCUCCCUGACCACUGACUGUGGCUGGAGCUUAAGGACAGGACAGAUGAUGCUGGCUCAUUCUCUCAUCCGACACUUUCUCACCAGAGGACAACAGCUGAUGAGAAAAUGUUUCAGGACAACAGCUGGUGAGAAAACUCGAGACAGUUUAAUGCUACAGCCUUUAUGAAAUCGUAGCUGAUGCUUGGAAUACUUUAAUCUUUAUGGAAAUUCAAGUAGUACAUCAGUUGUGCAGCCUUGAUGAAGGUGUACGUGGCUCUUCAAACACUUGAGUCUUCCUGUCACUGGUUCUAGAAGGGAUUUUGCAUAGUAAGUUGCACAUACAGUAACUUUUUCUUGUGAGCUGACCCAUUACAGGAAACAUUUAUCCCUCUGUUAGACCUCUUUUUGGGAUAUGUUUGCUUGAGUAAUAGGUGCCAUGUAGUGAUUAGUAUAACACAAGCUCACAUUAGUUUGUUCAAUCAAUUUGUGUGCAUCCAAUGUAUUUAUUAGAUCCCUAAGCAAACACUUAGGAUGACCUGGCACUCGUAGAGUCCAUUAAAGAAUCAUUAAAGAUCCUGUGUGCUUACUGAAACCUGGCUUAAGCAAGACACAAUAGACAUCUGCACACUACCAGGAUACACAGCAGGCCAGAAGAAAUUGGGGGACAUAUUGUUAUCUAUUGUAAUGAACUAUUAUGUAGCAAGACCAUAUCUAUCAAUGAUGAAUAUGGUGAAUAAAUGCAAACUUAUCUCUAAAAAAAAAAAAAAAAAUCCUAUAGCUAUUGGGGCAAUAACAGGAUGCCUCAUACUGAUAUCCCAGCGUUUAGUACUAAACUAAAAGCACUGUUUACAGGUACACAAUUGA